CCGGGUAGCAUAACACGUGAACAACCUGCCCUCGUGUGGGGGAUAGCCAUGCUAACGCGUGGGUAAUACCGCAUACGUUCUUCAGGGGAGUCCCCUGGGGAAGAAAGCUCUGGCGCACGGGGAGGGGUUCGCGGCCUAUCAGCUAGUUGGUGCGGUAACGGCGCACCAAGGCGACGACGGGUAGCUGGUCUGAGAGGAUGGCCAGCCACAUUGGGACUGAGAUACGGCCCAG
rnacentral:rRNA from 1 species